GACGAACGCCGGCGGCGUGCCUAAUACAUGCAAGUAGAACGCCGAAGGAGGAGCUUGCUUCUCUGGAUGAGUUGCGAACGGGUGAGUAACGCGUAGGUAACCUGCCUGGUAGCGGGGGAUAACUAUUGGAAACGAUAGCUAAUAUCGCAUAAUAGCAGUUGUUGCAUGACAACCGUUUGAAAGGUGCAAUUGCACCACUACCAGAUGGACCUGCGUUGUUUUAGCUAGUUGGGGGGGGAACGGCUCACCAAGGCGACGAUACAUAGCCGACCUGAGAGGGGGGUCCGCCACACUUGGAACGGAGCAACGCCCAGGCUCCCACGGGAGGGAGCAGGAGGGAAACAUUGGCCAUGGACGGAAGGCUUGCCGAGCAACGCCGGCGGGGGGGAGGAGGGUUUCGGAUCGUAAAACUCUGUUGUAUGGGAAAAAAGAGUGUGAGAGUGGAAAGUUCACACUGUGACGGUACCUUACCAGAAAGCGACGGCUAACUACGUG
rnacentral:rRNA from 1 species